UACAACUUUCAGCAACGGAUCUCUUGGCUCUCGCAUCGAUGAAGAACGCAGCGAAAUGCGAUAAGUAAUGUGAAUUGCAGAAUUCAGUGAAUCAUCGAAUCUUUGAACGCACCUUGCGCUCCUUGGUAUUCCUUGGAGCAUGCCUGUUUGAGUGUCAUUAAAUUAUCAA
rnacentral:rRNA from 2 species